rnacentral:tRNA from 1 species
GGGGCUGUGGAUCAGUGGUAGAGCAACUGCUUGGCAUACAGAAGGUCUCUGGUUCAAUCCCUGGCAUCUCCA